AAGUGCUGGGAUUACAGGUGUGAGCCACUACGCCCAGCCAAUUAUGUAUUCAUUUUUAUCACUUUUCACUAUCUAUCUGCCCCACUAAAAUGUGAGCUCCAUGAUAAGGGACUUUUUCUUCUUCACCAAGGCACUCCCAGCUCCUAACGCAGGGUCUAGCACUAGUCAAUAGUCAAUAUUUGAGAAAUAAAAUAUCCCCUGGUUGGAGAGAUAAUAAGCCCUUAAUCAAACCUGUUCCAAGACUUUUACUAUCAACAAGCUAAAAAGCCCAUGUCCUUUACUUGAAUUCAGAGUGCUGAACAGUGGUUGGCCAGCAACCUCUACUAAGAAGUUCUUUGCGAUCAGAGACAUUUGAAGGUAAAAUAGGGCCUUCGUCGUAAGAUGAGCCAGCCAGCCCUUUUGUCCUGAAACUGAGUACGCAAGUGCAGAGAGGUUACCUGGUUUCUCCAAGCUCACAUAGAAAUGGUGAACAUCAGGAGACGCGGGACCACUUAAAGGAUGCACAGUCCCGUAUUCAUCUCCGCAACCCCAGGACCCAGCACGGUGCCUGGUGCAAAGAAUGCACUCAGUGGGAUUGCGCCCAGGGAACGAAUGCUCUCUAAGGCCUCAUUCAACUGAACUGUACUUCCUCUCAUUACUGUCCCAAUGAUAACUUCCUAUCCGAGAACCAUUUCCAGUCACUUGAGUCAUGCGUCAUUUACUUCCUGUCCUCUGUCCUUUUAAAGUGCAGUUUGACAACAUACCAGGCACAACAGUAACAUCUGGGGGCUGCUUUGCUUCUAACGUAAGUCAAAUAGCCCAGCAUGGAAAAUACCUAGGAAAAAAGUGGGAUAUGCAAAGCAAACCUCAAAAAAAAAAAAAAAAAAAGACAAAAGCUGGUGGGCUGGCCACGGUGUCACAAAUGAAGUCUCCAGUGGCUUCAUCAUAACAACAUGUCUGAGUGUCCAUUCGCUCUGCUGAAGAAAUAGUGAUGGGUGUGAUCAAGGAAUACUGCCUGAGAUGAGUGGUAUUAAGCAACACAGGAUGGAGAAAACUGAAGCUCAGAGAAAUAAGUGACUCACAGUUUGUAUAAGUUGAUAUUUGAAAUUUGGGAUUUCUCCUCUUAAAUUACAGAUAUCUCAUUAACACAGGCUCAGAAAUCAUUUUUUCUCCCUGUGAACUUUUGGUCUGUCAUUUGCUUUAACUUAAACUAUAUCGAAUUCUGUGACUUUUAACAUUUAGACAUUCAUUUACUCAA
rnacentral:lncRNA from 1 species